CAUGGACUGUCCUGGUGAAUUGGGGAAGCAAGCAGCAGCCAUUCAGCCAGCAGAAACAGAGAGAGGAAAGGAAAAAAAAGCAGAAGUUCAAAUGGAAGAGACAUCAUUUUUGAGAAACCGAUUUUGGGUCUUGAGACAUGGCAAAAGCAUUCCCAACGAGAGAGGACUCAUAGUUUCAUCUCUGGAAAAUGGCGCCCUUUCAGAGUACCAACUAGCGUCUGAAGGUGUCAAACAGGC
rnacentral:misc_RNA from 1 species